GUACUCACUUUGGCAUCACAUAUACUAAAAUUGAAAUGAUACAGAGAAGAUCAGCAUGUCCCCUGCAUGAGGAUGACAAGCAAAUUUAUGAAGCAUUCCAUGUUAAA